UACGUAGGGGGCUAGCGUUGUCCGGAAUCAUUGGGCGUAAAGCGCGUGUAGGCGGCCCGGUAAGUCCGCUGUGAAAGUCGGGGGCUCAACCCUCGAAAGCCGGUGGAUACUGUCGGGCUCGAGUGCGGAAGAGGCGAGUGGAAUUCCUGGUGUAGCGGUGAAAUGCGCAGAUAUCAGGAGGAACACCGGUGGCGAAGGCGGGUCUCUAGGCCGAUACUGACGCUGAGGAGCGAAAGCGUGGGGAGCGAACAGG
rnacentral:rRNA from 1 species